rnacentral:rRNA from 1 species
CCUACGGGAGGCUGCAGUGAGGAAUAUUGGUCAAUGGGCGCGAGCCUGAACCAGCCAAGUAGCGUGAAGGAUGACUGCCCUACGGGUUGUAAACGUCUUUUAUAAAGGAAUAAAGUGAGGCACGUGUGCCGUUUUGUAUGUACGUGAUGAAGAAGGAUCGGCUAACUCCGUGCCAGCAGCCGCGGUAAUACGGAGGAUCCGAGCGUUAUCCGGAUUUAUUGGGUUUAAAGGGAGCGUAGAUGGGUUGUUAAGUCAGUUGGGAAAGUUUGCGGCUCAACCGUAAAAUUGCAAUUGAUACUGGCCGCCUUGCGUACAGUUGAGGUAGGCGGACUUCGUGGUGUAGCGGUGAAAUGCUUCGCUCUCACG